rnacentral:lncRNA from 10 species
GUAGAGAUGAAGUUUCUCCAUGUUGGUCAGGCUGGUCUCAAACUCCCCACCUCGGGUGAUCUGCCCGCCUUGGCCUACCAAAGUGCUGGGAUUACAGGCGUGAGCCACCGUGCCAGGCCGAGAACAUUUUGUUUUAAACCUACAUUGACAGGACAGAAUGAUCCAUUACAAUGUGACAGGCAAUGCCAGCGUAGCUGGAUCUGAAAGGCUUAUGAGCAGAAGGAAGGGUUUUUGACUCAAAAAGAUCUGAAUACCAAUUCUGGCUGUUCCUCAAGCAAAUGAGAUCCUAUUUUCUGUUUGCUCAUCUGUGGGAGAAUUGUAAUGGUCCUUUUCCUGUUAAUAGAGUGAGACGAUGGUAACAAGCAGUAGUGGAGUUCAUGGUCCCAGGAUCCCACAUUUCUGAGCCACUCAGAAUGAGAAUGUGGUAGAAAGAUGAGCUGUGAGGGGCGACUGAGGAAGCUGAUGUGAGGGGCUGGACGUGUGGAUGUGGAACUGCGGCCACGGCACAGUUCCGGGGCCUUCCAUGCACGGAAGGAAAAGCCGUCAGUUAUCGAACGCCUGCUCAGCUCUGGGUCGCCUGUUUACCAAGUGCUCGUCGGAGGACACAGUCCUGAUGAUGUGGAGCUUCCAUCCCAGCAGAAGAGAGGGACGUGCGUGGGUUCCAGAGUCAUGCUAUAUCAUCACAAACCACAAAGGCCCGUGAGAGGAAGUACAGGGUGCCAGGAAACUCACAGCAGGCCCGGAAUGGGCAGAUUGCUCUGGGAAGCCUUGGGCUGUGAACACUGGAAUUGCACCUGCUCCAUCCUUACCCCCCGGUGAUGUGCGUGGCCAGUUUGAAUGGACCAGGAACUGGACUUGGUGUCCAUUUUCCCCAGUAUUAGAGAUGGGUUUGUGGGGAUGACAGAAUUACAGACCGCUAGACUGACAAGUUCACUUCUCCCCACCCUCCCCUUUUACCAGGAGGCGAUGACUUGUGAUGAGAAAGGGCUGAUGGGAUUAGAAUCCAGUCUGUGUCCAUAAGACACAGUCAAGUCCACUGUUACACAGGAGUCAAACCGGUGACCUUGUGGAGGGGAACAACACCGAUUACUCGGUCCUGGCCCGGGGGACCAUGGCUUCCUAUGGAGCAGCCGCUCCUGCCUUCCCUUGGUACAGCAGAGAUGUGAAAAUCUAGCUCCAAGUCAGAUGUGUUUAGGAAACUUUGGGCUAACAAAGGGAAACAUUUGUUUCCUCGAGGCUGUGAGAGCUGUCAUUAAUGUGCUGAGCUGCACUGUGUCCUGAGCAGGAGCCUGCGGGGACUUGGCACAGAGCCUUGGUGCGUCCCACUGCACCUCCAGACCAGACCUCAGAGUCGGGGCCACUGCACCUCCAGACCAGACCUCAGAGUCGGGGCCACUGCACCUCCAGACCAGAUCGCAGAGUCGGGGCCACUGCACCUCCAGACCAGACCUCAGGAUCGGGGCCACUGCACCUCCAGACCAGAUCGCAGAGUCGGGGCCACCGCACCUCCAGACCAGACCGCAGGGUUGGGGCCACCGCACCUCCAGACCAGAUCACAGAGUCGGGGCCACUGCACCUCCAGACCAGACCGCAGGGUCGGGGCCACCGCACCUCCAGACCAGAACUCAGAGUCGGUGCUACCGCAGAGUCAGGGCCACUGCAUCUCCAGACCAGAUCGCAGAGUCAGGGAGCCAUCGUAUGGGGCUCCCCAUGAAGCGCUGCCUUCAGAUGGGGCAUCUGUGGAGGGACUUGUGUAAGUGGACUGUGUUUAGUGAGAGAGAGAAGCUGGUUUCUAAAAAGGAUUUUUUUGUUUUACUUUGGAAUAUUUUACUGUGGACCAAGGAGAAAUGAUUAUUGUGCUUUUGAUGGUCAGUGAUACAUAAGGAGAAUUGAAGUUACAGAGGGUGUUUUGGUACCUAGCAGAAAGAUUAUAAUUAACAAAAUGGACUGUUUGGCAUUUCUUUUUGUUAUUUUUCAUUUCUUUUUUAUGCUCAUACUCAUCAUCUAAGAUAACAGAGAAAUUCAAUCUACUACUCUCUUCAGAAUGCACUUAAGCAGCCUCUUUUAGAAAAGGAUAUAAUUUCCAUCUACUGGAAUUCCAUUUCAAAUAUAAACAAGACACCCCGGAGGGAAAGGAGUUACAGAUGCUGGUGAUUCUGACAGCAUUAACCAAUGGGAGUUGAGAACCCUGACUGGCACACUGCCCGCACCACCAACUGCUCUCUCGGGCCCAGGGUGGCGAUGGGUUGUAGCCGCUGCCGAUGCUCUUUCCUUCUGGUGCCAGAUGCAGCUUCAGUAUCAUCUGCAAGUUGGGGGGACCGUGAUGAUUGGAGUCAGCACUUGAGAGGAAACGUGCUUGCUGUUCCAAUUCUAGUGGAUAUUCUUCGUGGAUGUUGACUAAUAAAACAAAUGGACAUUCUCAUGUUAGGUACCGUCUAAUUAAUUUUUC